rnacentral:rRNA from 1 species
AGUGAACGCUGGUGGCGUGCUUAACACAUGCAAGUCGAACGAGAACGGAAUAUAGCUUGCUAUAUUUGUCAGCUAAGUGGCGCACGGGUGAGUAAUGUGUAGAUAACCUGCCCUUAAGAAAGGAAUAACAGUUGGAAACGACUGCUAAUGCCCUAUAUGCCUUUAAUACAUAAGUAUGCAAGGGAAACGCUUUAGUGCUUAAGGAUGGGUCUGUAUGGUAUCAGCUUGUUGGUGAGGUAAUGGCUCGCCAAGGCUAUGACGCCUAACUGGUUUGAGAGGAUGAUCAGUCACACUGGAACUGAGACACGGUCCAGACUCCUACGGGAGGCAGCAGUGGGGAAUAUUGCACAAUGGACGAAAGUCUGAUGCAGCAACGCCGCGUGGAGGAUGACACAUUUCGGUGCGUAAACUCCUUUUAUAUAGGAAGAUAAUGACGGUACUAUAUGAAUAAGCACCGGCUAACUCCGUGCCAGCAGCCGCCGUAA